rnacentral:rRNA from 1 species
CGGUCUGGUAAAUCUCUGGGUAAAUCGAACGGCUCAACCGUUCGAAUACCAGGGAGACUGCUAGACUUGGGACCGGGAGAGGCCAGAGGUACUCUUGGGGUAGAAGUAAAAUUCUGUAAUCCUAGGAGGACCACCAGUGGCGCAAGCGUCUGGCUAGAACGGAUCCGACGGUGAGGGACGAAGCCCUGGGGCGCGAACCGGAUUAGAUACCCGGGUAGUCCAGGGUGUAAACGAUGUGGACUUGGUGUCGGAAGUCUUACGCGGGCAUCCGGUGCCGUAGGUAAAGUGUUAAGUCCACCGCUUGGGAA